UACGGGGGGGGCAAGCGUUGUUCGGAAUUACUGGGCGUAAAGGGCUCGUAGGCGGCCAACUAAGUCAGACGUGAAAUCCCUCGGCUUAACCGGGGAACUGCGUCUGAUACUGGAUGGCUUGAGAUUGGGAGAGGGAUGCGGAAUUCCAGGUGUAGCGGUGAAAUGCGUAGAUAUCUGGAGGAACACCGGUGGCGAAGGCGGCAUCCUGGAUCAACACUGACGCUGAGGAGCGAAAGCCAGGGGAGCAAACGGG
rnacentral:rRNA from 1 species